rnacentral:piRNA from 1 species
CCUAACAAGUUAUCCCGUGAUCCUAGCAUC